CAAUAGCGUAUAUUAAAGUUGUUGCAGUUAAAAAGCUCGUAGUUGGACCUUGGACCUGACAGGCGGUCCGCCUCACGGCGAGUACUGUCUUGCUGGGUCUUUCCUCUUGGUGAUCUGUUGUUUCGGCAGCAGGGAACCAGGACCUUUACUUUGAAAAAAUUAGAGUGUUCAAAGCAGGCUCGACGCCGGAAUAUAUUAGCAUGGAAUAUAAAAUAGGACGUGCGGUUCUAUUUUGUUGGUUUUUGGAAUCGCCGUAAUGAUUAAUAGGGACAGUCGGGGGCAUUAGUACUCACAUGCUAGAGGUGAAAUUCUUGGAUUUUGUGAAGACUAACUUCUGCGGAAGCAUUUGCCAAGGAUGUUUUCAUUAA
rnacentral:rRNA from 1 species